CUUAUCAAGAGUGGCGGAGGGAACGGCCCGAUGAAGCCCGGCAACCUGCAUUUUUGCAAGGUGCCAAAUCCGGCGGUAGUGUAUCGAGAGAUGAGG
rnacentral:ncRNA from 1 species